UCUAUCCCUAGAGGCUUUGCAAGAGUGGCUACUGUGUCACAUGUCUGUCAGUAAGUAGCAGAGAAGAGAGAGGCUAUAUCUAUGCUUAGCAUCCUGACCUAAGGACAUCUGAAAGAUAAGUAGCUUAACAUU